GAAAAUUAUUCGAGGGCUCGAAAUCGUUGGCUCGAAUGGCCCGAAAACGUGGGCUCACGCACCUGUCUCGCCUAUCUCAGCCCUGUCUUCAUUUUUCUUUUUCUCAUACCCAAACUAUCUCGCCCGAAGUCCUCAUUUUUGUUCCCAUACCCAAACUCUAAACUUUGAAACUCUCUAUUGCUCUGUUUGUCAUCGUUCUGAAGAAUCAUUCGAGUCUAUCUCCUUCAAAACGACGCCGGAAAGAAGUUGUUCUGUCACCUCCUCUCUCCUUCCAAUCUCAGGUAAGAGUAACAAAGAACACUGCAAUUACUUCAAGUUUGCGGACGAUGAUGAUGGGGACGUUACCUCGACAAUCCAUUCCAAUAGUGGACCUCGUAAAGCUAUCCGAACAGAAGAAUUGAAUGAUGUCAGGGCAAGACUUUUUGAGAUGGAAAAUGAAAUACAUGACCAUGGUAGAAGGCUUCAAAUGAUGGACAACAAAUUCAACACUAUGAUCUAUGUGACUGUAGUGUGUAUCAUUUUGUACUUUAUUAUGUAAGAAUUGAAAUGCUUGAUUGUUAGUUUUUGGGAUAUUUGAUGAAUGUAAUUAUGGAUGUAAUGGACAUGUUGAAUGUAGUGUAUGAAUGGAUGAUGUAAUGGACAUGUUAACUUUAUUAUGGAUGUAAUUUUAUUAUAGAUGAG